rnacentral:ncRNA from 1 species
CAGAGUAAAAUUUCGGGCGUGUGAUCAGUCACGAAGUGUCUGCCGGACGGGGAGUUGUCGGCGGAACGAACGCAGUUUUGCGGCGAUCCGGAGUUUGCAUCCCGCUGU